CCUAGAGGUACAAGAGCUUCAGGCUGCAGGAGACCGGCUUUUGGGGGCCCCUUUUUACAGAUGAGAAAAGUUCCAGAAAGACCCAGAGACAUAAUCAGGUACCUGCGUCGAGCUCUGCACAGGUGACUGGGACUGCAACCCCGGAGACCACUGUGUCAGCAAUGGGUGUGGCCAUGAGUGUGUUGCAGGGUAAGGACAGAUGAAGAGUUAUCUUAAGGAUCAUCUUUCCCUAAGAUCGUCAUCCCUUCCUGGAGUUCCUAUCUUCCAAGAUGUGACUGUCUGGAGUUCCUUGACUAGGAAGAUGGAUGAAAACAGCAAGCCUGUGGAUGGAGACUACAGGGGAUAUGGGAGGCAGGGAAGAGGGGUUGUUUCUUUUAAUAAAUCAUCAUUGUUAAAAGCACU
rnacentral:lncRNA from 1 species